rnacentral:rRNA from 1 species
UACGUAGGGGCCGAGCGUUGUCCGGAGUUAUUGGGCGUAAAGCGCGCGCAGGCGGCUUGACGCGCCCGACGUGAAAGCCCCCGGCUUAACCGGGGAGGGUCGUCGGGUACGGUCAGGCUUGAGGGCGGGAGAGGGUGGUGGAAUUCCCGGUGUAGUGGUGAAAUGCGCAGAUAUCAGGAGGAACACCGGUGGCGAAGGCGGGUCUCUGGGCAACAACUGACGCUGAGGAGCGAAAGCGUGGGGAGCGAACAGG